AACGAACGCUGGCGGCAGGCUUAACACAUGCAAGUCGAGCGCCCCGCAAGGGGAGCGGCAGACGGGUGAGUAACGCGUGGGAAUCUACCCAUCUCUACGGAAUAACGCAUGGAAACGUGUGCUAAUACCGUAUACGUCCUUCGGGAGAAAGACUUAUCGGAGAUGGAUGAGCCCGCGUUGGAUUAGCUAGUUGGUGGGGUAAAGGCCUACCAAGGCGACGAUCCAUAGCUGGUCUGAGAGGAUGAUCAGCCACACUGGGGCUGAGACACGGCCCAGACUCCUACGGGAGGCAGCAGUGGGGAAUAUUGGACAAUGGGCGCAAGCCUGAUCCAGCCAUGCCGCGUGAGUGAUGAAGGCCCUAGGGUUGUAAAGCACUUUCACCGGUGAAGAUAAUGACGGUAACCGGAGAAGAAGCCCCGGCUAACUUCGUGCCAGCCGCCGCGGUAAGAC
rnacentral:rRNA from 1 species